AUCGAGUUUCGAGGGCACACAUUCAUCCUGCAAAAUUUCCGUACACAGAAGGGGGAUUCAUCAACCGGUAGUGGUUUGAGAGGUCCAGGCUUCAUGUAUAAGUAGCUCUUCUCGCUACAUACUGCCACACUUCUCACUUUCCACUUGCACUCGCUUCUGAAAAGCUCUCUGUUAUCAUCUCAGGGUUCAUGAUCCAAAGCUUCUUUUAAGCACAAAUUGACGCCGAUGGGACCUAUCAAGUCUCGUUUUGUCACUUCUGACCACUGUUUAGGAUCGAUUCUCGAUGUGCAGAAUUGCCCCGCGCAGGUUUCGUGUUGGUGGGAGUCGCAAGUUUUAGAGAGAGCGAGAUAGAGAGAGAGGGAGCGAGAGGGUGAGAGGAAGAGAUAUGCUUGUCCGCCGGAGUCUCUAAUGGUUACAGGGUGUUCGUUUUUCUCCCUCAAAGGCUUCCAACAACAGUCGGAAUUAACUCUGAUGCGGCCAUUAUCACUGGUUGCAGUGAAUUAUUCUAGUUCUGCUGUUGGAAGCCUUCGUGGGAGACGAAAGAACCCUUGUUUGGAAGGCUUGGAAGCGCUUCUGUCUUUAGUCCUGGCUGAUCUACACAGCAGCUCUACCACUCGUAUGAUUGGCUCUAGGGGAUGUACUAGCAGUGGACGAGCAGCCGCAAGCUCAAGAGAUCACAGAUCCUUUGGUCGAUCUCUUGAGGGAUUUCUGAAGCUCCAACUUCUUACAAUUCGGAAUAGUCCCUUUCUUUUCUACCUUCAUUGGUGACUGCACCAUGAACAUCACCACGCGCGACAGAUAUUGUUUAAACCAUAAGUUUCUUUUUGUGCUCUUGCAGCAUUUUAUCAAGCUGCGAGCAGAAGCUGUGCAGUCAUUCUUUUCGGUAUGUCCUUCUCAGCAACAAGCAUGUAGACCUCAUAAGAUAGUGUUUUAUGUUCUGAUUCCCGUUUUAAUUAAUCGAGUGUGUAUUGUAUGGUGUUAUAAUCGAAAGCCACUGCGUCGUAUAUACCAUCUACGACCUAUUAACUUAGUUGCGAAUCUUAAGCGUGCAGAAAGCAGCGGUGAAUUUCGACUCUUUCAAAAGACAUUUACUGUGAAGUACAAUGCCGUCAACCGGCGACGUGUUUCCCCGAUAAGCUACCGCCACGCGUGUGAUUUCGACUUCCAUUGUGUAGGCUUUUCCCAUCACCACAGCCGUCAUCUUCCAGUACCCCUAGUGUUUGCAAACAGGAAUCCUAUUUUCUCUCGUGCUAGGCAAUCGUCAGUCUUUGUACUUGCCGCACAUGCAGUCGCAUCUAAGUACUCGUGCAUGUUCAUUCGCAGUUCAGGUUCUUCUGUAUGCUGGAAUAUUGCAGUUAAUUCUGUGUAACCAGAUACAUUGUGUAUCUGAUCCUUCACCUAUUGCCAAUCAAAUGAAUAUACUAACGUUGUGUUCACUUUUGCAUUGUUAUUAAUAAAAUCCAUUCAACAUUAUUCUAGUUGGCUUUGCACAAUGAUCUGCCUUUAGUCGUGUGCUAGUUUUACAUUUCGCAAACCUGACAGUUUUCGUGAAACCGAUUGUUUUUGAAUUACCUGAUAAUCUCGGCGGAUACUAGUUCUCUUUCUAUAUGUAACUGAUAUCCCAGAUCCACUUGUCUCUUUCGUUUCAUGAUCACGCAGACAGUAAUUAUAAUAUCAGACGCCUUCGGCUCAUGAAGCGAUAUGGUGAAUAUUUUAUUUCGUUUAAUACUGGAUCUACCGGGUUAAACUUCAGUUAAGGCAAAUUUCAACACUGCCGUGUUUCCAAUAACGUUGAUCCCGAUCGUGUGAUGCUCGUUUGUAUCAAGUGUGCACACACGUUUAGGUCAAUUGCACUGAAAGCUUAUUGGUCAAACUGAGUGAAUGUCUUUCAUUUGUAAUUAUCAAUGUUCACUUCAUAUACUACGUAUUUGUGUAGCUUUUGUUGGUGUAAAGACUAAUAAUGUUAUGUAAGAGCAACACACUCGAUUAUGAAAUCCUACAAAGUAUGCGAUCACUGGAGUAAUCCUCAGUGUCUAACUCUCUAGAUGAAGUGAAGAGGUGAAAUAAUUAAUCUAAAUGUGCAAUAACACGGUUAUCUAGAUGUACUAUGGUUGUGAAACAGUUCGAUAAUCAAACGAAUGUGCCAAACAUCCAUGUUUCCAAACCAUCACUGCAACCACACCCCGAGUGCGGAGAACUCCGUUUUCUUGUCACCUCUUUCAAUUUAUCCCAUUCCACUUUGCCCAACAGGUGGAUUCACAACAGGACAUUAUGAGAUUACAAACAUCAACAAAUGACAUUCACUGUUUGUUGCCAGGUUAGAAGUAUUGAAAAUAUAGAAGUAGAGAUUGUUAUUUACACUUAUCCUCUAAUGUUUGGUGUGUCCUUUUCCUUUCAAUCUAACGUAUUAAGACCCAGUAAAUUAUAUAUCCAUCUCUUCAUUCAAUUCACACAUCAAGUACAGUGAUAUUGUUGCAGAACAUGUUCCCAACUUGCCCUCUGACGUUUUUACUUCAUUCAUCAUGUCUACAAAUAUAGAUGUCCUGUGGAUGCCUCAGAUUUUGUGAACUUACUGCCAAGAAAAAAAUUAUUGGGAGUUCUUGAACUAUUGAUAAAAAGGGUUGCACAGUGAAAAGUUUGGGGUUUCAAGAAAAAAUAAAACAUGAAAUCAUUUAUAAGCAAUUAGACAGGUCUUUUUGCAGCUUCUCAGCUAUCGCAUAGUCUGUUUGAUUUCCGCUGCAAUGGACUCGAGGGGUGUCGGAAACGCGUUUUCAACUGGGCCUCUGUUUCUGUUAUUUGCUCCACCUCUUUCGUCAUUUUGUGUUCACGUUGUAAGGUUGAGUGAUCUAGUGGUAUUUGGAUAGCUGGGUUUGUGGAUUUUUAUCGCAAGCAAGACGGAUUUGUUGCUGUUGAGUGGAAGAAGGCUGGGUUAAUUUCACAAGGUGUCGAUUUUAGAGGAAUAUGUGUUUUUGGGUGGGACUUGGGCGCUUCCAUAAGGACGCAACUGUUUUGAUAUGUGGGAACUCUUGAUGGAUUUGUGAGUGCCAUGUACUGCAAGAUGGGCUCGCCAUGAAUUGCCUGAUUAAUGAGAAUCAAUCUGGAAUAGGAGGGUUCGAAUUGGAAGUGUGUCUAUUAGGAAUGGAUUGUUCCACCUCACGUUCGGCGAAGUAAUCACCUUCUGGAUCCCCUUCCUUGCUCGUGGCCUUCCAAUGCAACAACUGGUGCACCUGUAGUUACUGAUGGGUCCAGAAACGUGGUAAUCGGUGAUCCUUAGGGGCUCACAGAUCGCACCUUGAACAACCAAAAAUCAGGCUCCUUGGGUCUUCUUGUGACUCAAAUUUUUUCAGAAAUCUAUGUGCGCCGUGCGUUUCUAUGCUCUUUACUUGCAAAAUGACCACAGAUCAAAUCAUACUUCUUGGGGACCUUCUCGAUGGAGGCCCCUAUCUAGCUCCACAUGAGGAAGUCAGUUUUGGCCUUAUUUUCUGCAUCUGAGUGGACACUCAUGAGACUUGGCGCUGUUCAUGUUCCUUUUCAAGGGAAUGGCUGGAUAACAUUGACCUUCUGGAAAUAAGGUUCUUUAGUGUAUGUAACUGAUUCAUGGACCUCUAGGGAUAUGGAUUGGUUUGUGCGUCUGUGUUUGUGUGCAUUUCUUUGAAGGUGGUUUUGAACCACACAAUUGGAUAUGUAUAAACAAUUCAUGAUUGAAGAAUGCUUUGAUGGCAGCAGAUGGCAAGAAUUGCUAAAAUGAUUUGAACACGUUUUUGACCAGUCAGUAGGGGCAGUUGAAUCCGGACUGCAGAGGUCAUUGCUUCCUUUCUACACUCUUUCCAGUGAUCAUGAUUUAGGUUAUGAAGCAAUGGAGACAUCGAAUCCAGAGGUACUUCAGAGCUGCAUUAACAGUUAGUGCAGUGUCUCAUGUGGUUUGUGCAUUGCAUCAUGGGAGCUUAAUGUAUUGUUCCUGUAUUCAUUUUUGACGUUGUAUACAUUGUAUGCAGACCACUUAGCGUUAUCAGAGAGAAUUUGGUCCAUUAGAACUUCAUGUCAUCUUUGGAGAUGUACAAUUUAUGUUUGUGGAUGCGUAAGCUCUUGAUGGUGAAGAUCACCUUUGCUGUCCACGGUCUCGCUGAAAUGAUAUUUGCAUUUCUAUCAAGCUACUUACUUUCAGAAUUCAGAACAUGCGCUUUGAAAGUUUCUAUCAAUCAAUCGUUGUGGCCUUAUGAAGAAGGCUGCAGAAUGGUUAACAUAUGCAGAGGUAGUUUCCUCAUUGCUACAGGAUCUGGAGAUGUUGCUGAAAGGUCAUGGAAAUUUGUAUAGCGGAGGGAACAGAAAAGAGACAUCACGCUAGGAUCUUGGUGACUCAUAUUCCGCUUUCCGAUCUGAUGAUAUACCUUGUGGCAGUAACUGUGCGUCUACAGUUAUCAAUUAGGUGAAACAGAAGAGAGUUGUGGAUACAAAGAUUUUAAUCUGUUAUUGGAAUAGAAAUUCGUCAGCAAAUUACGAUUCGAAUAGAGCAUGAAAAUUUUGAUUUCCCACCUAAACGCUUGGAUACAACGUUUCAUCUUGCUAUGGAGAACUCUCAGUUUCUGCCAUUUUAGAGGCAUUUUAGCUUGUAUAUCCAUCCAGAAAGGUGCUUAAUAUGGAUUCGCAUAUUUUUGCUGAAUGAUGUUGCUGUA